GCAGAAUAUAUUUACACUUUAAAAGUACAGCAGGACACAGCACAGUGUGUAUUCCUCCCAGGGGCGGACUGGCCAUCUGGACGUUCUGGACAUGUCCAGUACGGCUGUCCAUCAUCAAAGAAAAAGUGUCAGAUAAAGUGAUGUUGACAGCCGACAAAAGGGGAUGCUAAUGCAAUCUAUUUUUGCUUGUAAGAAACCGAAACUGCCGUAUACGGCCAGCAAUGUCUUUUAGUACGGCCUGUUGGAUCAUUUUAGACUCAGAUGAUCAAUUUUAAAAUAUCUGAAAUGUAAGUCACGUAAAGACUGCUUUCAGUUUAUGAUGUUAAUAUUAUCUCCAACCACAGUUUCCAGCCGCUCCCCGUAUUCAUUUCAGUGUUGUGGGACGUGCAAUCUAAUGUAAACAUUCGCUAAGAUUAGCAAAUAAUAAAUUAAAAACUGACCAUGAAAACAGCAUUUUCCAGUAAAGAUGGUAAAUAGAUUAUUUUUUUUUACCAAGUUCAAGAGGAUACUUAUAUGUUUGGAGUGUUUGGACAUGUGUUAUUUAAAUCGUCAUCACACCACUACGCACAAACAACAGGGAUGUCAGAGUUGCACUUGCUUCAGAUUUCAAAGAUACUGUACAUUAUUGUAGGUCCUCUAUGCCCCGCCUCUCUCAAACGUGUCGUUUUCUACAAAGUCCCUCAUUCUGACAAGCGCAGUCUGCUCUGAUUGGCAAACUGAACCAGUGCAAUGUGAUUGGCCGAACAUCACAAGCAAUGUUUCAAAAUAAACGUAAAGACAGUUAAUAAUGUCCUUAGUAUUACCAUCAGUUCAAGCCCGAAUGAGAAACAGAGUUGUGUGACAGACACAGUGAUGAAGCUCCUAUGUGUUUGCAGUAACGUUACACAAGCCAUGUAUGGUUAAGACAGCUGACUCCACUGUGUGACCCUGUCUCUCUUUCUCUCACACACACACACGACAAGCAAAACUCCGCAUUUGAACAGUCAACAGCAAAUACUUAAACUAAUAACAAAACAUACUCACAGUAGCUGAUUCAGAAGUGCCAUAUUGUCGUAGCAAAGUCAGAAUUACCUCCUCUCCUAGGUUCACAAAACGGUCAUCCACGGUGCAUUGCUGUUCUGUUGUAGGUAAUCUUAAAGAUUCCUAAAUGCAUCUACUUUCAGAAGGCCAAAUAAAGUGCUUUUGCUUUCGCCUAGAUAUACACAGCAUCUCCCAGACAUGGCUGUUUCAACACUUAACUGCGGUUACUGAAACCACGCCUUCUUUCUUUGCGUGAUCAUUUGGGCAGCAUGGUGACGUAGGUAUGUGGGGACGUGUUAGAACGAGCCGUUUUAGGGGGGCGUGGCAGAGUCUUAACUUUGAUAAAGAAUUUCUCUUUGGAUUUGAGACUUUAGUCUUUGCAACUUUACAGAUCUUCUUUAUGCACCAAGAGCUUGUAACACUCCAAAGAGAAAGGAAAAAUUGAAAUCGCAUCAUAUGACCCCUUUAAAGUGUCCUUGUUACAGUGUAAUUAUACAUUUAAUGCUAAGUAAUAUUAAUUAAUUACAUUUAUUUACUAUAUGGUAAGGGGUUAGAAUUAUGGUUUGGGUUAGGGAUACUUGUGUGUAAUUAUGCAUAAUUUAUUGUUAUUAGAAUAGGUAAUUACAUGUAACCUUAAAAUAAAGUGUUACCGAAAAUUAUAGAUAACAGUUAUUUUACAGUGUCCUUGUUAUACAUUACAUAUACUUAUUAUAAUAAUAGCAAUAAACUGUACAUGCAACUCACCCUAAUCCUAACCCUAUAGUAAGUAUGUGUUGUUAAUUAAUAUGAUUCAGUUCUUAAAUGUAUAAUUACACUGUAACAAGGACACCUUAACAUAAAAUAUACUCAUAUGAUGUCAGUAUUUACUCGUUCCCCAUGUUGUUCUAAACCUUCUCUAUUUUCUUUCUAUUUUUCUGUCCCUCUCCUUUUAGUUUUUUUUUUCUUUUUUCUUUUUUUCAUGAGGCAUGUACUAAAAAAAACACCAUAAAUGUGGCCUAUAUGAAUUUUUUGCUAUAUUUAAAGUUUUCCAUAACCAUGUGCUUCCAUUAGAAGCAUUGUGUCAGGAUUAACAUGCAAGAGACUAUAUAUAAUAUUUUAAAGUAUAUAUAUAUAUAUAUAUAUAUAUAUAUAUAUAUAUAUAUAUAUAUAUAUAUAUACUUUAAAUGUAC
ensembl:lncRNA